UGUGCAAUUGUUGGUCUGUAGGUAUGGUAUGUGUGGAGGUGGCUGGCUGGCUGUUGGUCUGUAGGUAUUGUAUGUGUGGAGCUGGCUGGCUGGCUGUUGGUCUGUAGGUAUUGUAUGUGUGGAGGUGGAUGGCUGGCUGUUGGUCUGUAGGUAUUGUAUGUGUGGAGCUGGCUGGCUGGUUGUUGGUCUGUAGGUAUUGUAUGUAUCUAUCUUGUCCGUACCUCAGCAUUGGCAAUGUCAUCAGGAGUGUAUCUGAACAGCUCAGCUCUGGGCCCACUCUUACUUUGGUGCAAAGAAAAAGGUGCUUCAGUCGACAGAUACACACCAUAAAUUGUUGAGAGCGAGAGAUUUCUGACAG
ensembl:lncRNA